rnacentral:miRNA from 1 species
UGAUGAAUCAACAGUAUAAAAACG